CUACUUGUGUAUCAAGGAUCGUUUGCCCAUCACAUUUCUUUCUCGCACAUCGUGCGAGCUGCUGGGCGCAGAGGUCACAUUCUGUAGUGUUUGGUCGUCACCACAAUGAUACGAUAUCCAUAUGCCUAAAGAAAGCUUUUUCUGUCUUUCUUCCUGCACAACGCCUGCCGUACCACGCUUUUGCCCAACACAGAUUGCUUUCACAAACAUGCAAAAUCGGAGCACGUGAGCUGAGCAGGCAAUGGAACUUCGGGUACCGGAAAAGUUUCCACUGUAUGCAUAACAAAUGAACCCAGCAGCCCUCCUUAGUGAGACAGAAAUGCCCAGGUGGAGCCCACUCACAUCAAUGCCUGCAAGUGAAACUGUGUCAACACUCAGAAAGCCAGUCAUGCUGCCAGUGCCAUAGCGCAACGAAAUGGCUGUACCAUUCUUACGCUCCUGUUCACGACCGGCCGAUGCUGGUGACAACAAGGGCGGAGCGCCGUUCGUGACCACUGACAAAGCACCAAAAGGAAUAGCAUUAAAAUGCAACCUCUAAUAUAUUAUCCCGGCCCUCUAUUGCACAUUUUACCGAGUCUUGGACGGCCGUUUUCUUCAACUCUGUAUGCCUCGCCUUUAAAACGGGGUCAUCUUUAGUUAAAGAAGAGAUGGAGCCAGAUGGCAA